UGGGGUUGUAGCUCAGUGGUAGAGCACUCACCUAGCACAUGAGAGGCACUGGGUUCAAUUCUCAGCACCGUAA
rnacentral:tRNA from 1 species